rnacentral:rRNA from 1 species
AGGACGAACGCUGGCGGCGUGCUUAACACAUGCAAGUCGAGCGGAAAGGCCCUUCGGGGUACUCGAGCGGCGAACGGGUGAGUAACACGUGAGUAACCUGCCCUAGGCUUUGGGAUAACCCUCGGAAACGGGGGCUAAUACUGGAUAUUCCCGCGGGAUCGCAUGGUUUUGUGGGGAAAGGUUUUCCGGCUUGGGAUGGGCUCGCGGCCUAUCAGCUUGUUGGUGGGGUGAUGGCCUACCAAGGCGACGACGGGUAGCCGGCCUGAGAGGGGCGACCGGGCCACGACUGGGACUGAGACACGGCCCAGACUCCUACGGGAGGCAGCAGUGGGGAAUAUUGCACAAUGGGCGGAAGCCUGAUGCAGCGACGCCGCGUGAGGGAUGACGGCCUUCGGGUUGUAAACCUCUUUCAGCAGGGACGAAGCGUGAGUGACGGUACCUGCAGAAGAAGCGCCGGCCAACGUACGUGCCAGCAGCCGC